rnacentral:rRNA from 1 species
UCUGAAUCUGCGUACGGCUCCGCACACCAGUUGUAAACCAAAGCAAGCAAGCCUGACCCCGAGGCCUUCACAGGUCAAAGGGCCAGGUUACAAGGAUAACCCUGGUAAUUCUGAGGCUAAUACGUGACACGAACCUGUCGACUGGGGGCUUGCCCCUGGGAAGCGGGGGAUGUGCGACUAUCGGGCCAAAAACAACCGGAAAGAGCGCACGUUCAGACCACUCCAAAAAAGGUCUGCAGGAUCCCUCACGGGGUUUUGUGGAUCUUGUGGCUCUUGCACUGUGCUUCUGACCUAUCAACUAGACGGCAGCUUAAGGGACAUGCU